GUUUGCUUGCUCCGUCUUUUAUAAUUAUCUCUCCACUUUUAGGCCAUAGGGCUCAAAUGCUACAUAAAUAUCUUUUUAGUACAAAGUAAUAAAAUAUGUAAACUUUUGGGUAGUAAUUUCCAUUUAAAAAUGGACUAGAGAAUGAAUUUCCAGAUGUAGAAUUUCGGAAAUUGAGUUUGUAAAAUCAGAGACAGUUUUUGAUAUCAAGGAUUUCCUGAAGCAGUUCAAAUCUCCUGAGAUGAAUGCCAUACUGUUUACACAAAGCCUUGCUUACCAUUCAACAGCUACAAGCUGGGACAUUACAUGUUUGAUGAUUUUCUUGACCAAGAGUGCAUUUUCACCCUGCUUAUGCUGACAGACCAAAGCAGAACAGUAAAGGUCAACGUGUUGGGAAGUUUUUCCUUAUGGAUUAGAUCUCUAUUAUAAACUCAGGCACCACACUCUUCAAGGCCAUCCAAGGGAACUCAAGGCUUUCCAGAAUCUUCCUUGAGCUCAUGUGUGCACAUUUUGGGUGUUCCUCUGAACUCUCCUUAGCCUGCGCCUCCAUCUAAAAUGAAAGUAUAGGAAUGAAUGAAUGAUCCUCAACUCUGGAUAUGUACUGGGAUCUUCUGUGGACUGAAAAAAUAUUCUGUUGCCCAAAUCUCCUUCCAGGAGGUCCUGAUUGGUAGUUCUGAGGAGUGGGCCUGGAGUUUCUGAGUUGCCAAAGUCUAGUGACAGUGGGCACUUGACUGAAUAAUCUCAUGCUUUUAGUAGAGGGAAAUGGAUUUGAGCUGGGGAGAACAAAUUGGAACUGCCUGUGGAGAUUUAUUUGGCAAGAAUUCAGUGCUGGAAAUGAGAUUAGAAGAGUUUGCUUUUCUGACUUGGUAACCAUUGUCAACUCAAAGCUUGUCACUUAGUCCAACUCAAUGACCAAAUCAACACUGGCAUUUUGUGACAUGACAUUCCUGGCACAGAACCUUUGAUUUAUGCUUGUUUCUAUGAAUAAAACAAGUGCCCUUUGGUUACAAAUAAAGGAGACAUAUUCUAUUAAUAUAAAUUGGUUUACAGUUGCAGAGGGAGGUCUGCCAUUACUAAUAUCAAGAUAUGAGUUCUUUCUUUCAAUGCCCUUAUGGCAUUGCUGAUUAGAAAUGGAAUUCUGGUUAGGAUUUGGGAUCUGGGCCAAGAGAAUAUGUGUCUUCUUUUCAUUUUCCUUUCCCUCAUUAAUUUGUUAAAAAAAAAAA